UACGAAGGGGGCUAGCGUUGCUCGGAAUUACUGGGCGUAAAGCGCGGGCAGGCGGUCGGGCAAGUGGGGUGUGAAAUCUCCCAGCUUAACUGGGAGAGGCCAUUCCAAACUGCCUGACUGGAGGGCAGUAGAGGUAGGCGGAAUUCCGGGUGGAGUGGUGAAAUGCGUAGAGAUCCGGAGGAACACCAGAGGCGAAGGCGGCCUACUGGGCUGCACCUGACGCUGGAGCCGCGAAAGCUAGGGGAGCGAACGGG
rnacentral:rRNA from 1 species